UCCAGACUCCUACGGGAGGCAGCAGUGAGGAAUAUUGGUCAAUGGGCGGGAGCCUGAACCAGCCAAGUCGCGUGAGGGAUGACGGUCCUACGGAUUGUAAACCUCUUUUGCCGGGGAGCAAGCGUGCGUUCGUGAACGCGCGUCGAGAGUACCCGGAGAAAAAGCAUCGGCUAACUCCGUGCCAGCAGCCGCGGUAAUACGGAGGAUGCGAGCGUUAUCCGGAUUUAUUGGGUUUAAAGGGUGCGUAGGCGGGAUGCCAAGUCAGCGGUAAAAAUGCGGUGCUCAACGCCGUCGAGCCGUUGAAACUGGCGUUCUUGAGUGGGCGAGAAGUAUGCGGAAUGCGUGGUGUAGCGGUGAAAUGCAUAGAUAUCGCGCAGAACUCCGAUUGCGAAGGCAGCAUGCCGGCUCCACACUGACGCUGAGGCACGAAAGCGUGGGUAUCGAACAGGAUUAGAUACCCCGGUAC
rnacentral:rRNA from 1 species